rnacentral:rRNA from 1 species
GGGGCAACCCAAGUAGAGUGGCGAAAGGGCGAGUAAUGCAUUCCUAACGUACCCUGGACUCGGGGAUAGCUCACCGAAAGGUGAAUUAAUACCCGAUAACGCCGUCGGACCGCGUGGUCUGACGGCCAAAGGCUUGCUGGUCUGGGAUCGGGGAAUGUCCUAUCAGGUAGUUGGUGAGGUAACGGCUCACCAAGCCUUAGACGGGUAGCGGGUGUGAGAGCACGGCCCGCCGCAUCGGGACUGAGACACUGCCCGGACUCCUACGGGAGGCUGCAGUAACGGAUAUUGGGCAAUGGGCGCAAGCCUGACCCAGCGAUGCCGCGUGGAGGACGAAGCCCUUCGGGGUGUAAACUCCUGUCAGGGUUUACCAACACAAUGAGGAAACCCAGAGGAAGAGACGGCUAACUCUGUGCCAGCAGCCGCGGUAAUACAGAGGUCUCGAGCGUUAAUCGGAGUCACUGGGCUUAAAGGGUGCGUAGGCGGGCCUGUAAGUGCUUUGUGAAAUCCCAUGGCUUAACCAUGGAACUGCUUGGCAUACUGCAGGUCUUGAGGUCGGUAGGGGCAGCCGGAACUCUAGGUGGAGCGGUGAAAUGCGUAGAUAUCUAGAGGAACGCCGAAGGUGAAGACAGGCUGCUGGGCCGAAUCUGACGCUGAGGCACGAAAGCGUGGGGAGCAAACGGGAUUAGAUACCCCGGUAGUCCACGCCCUAAACGAUGUAGACUAGAUCGCGGAGGCUCUGACGCCAUCGUGGUCGAAGCAAAAGUAUUAAGUCUACCGCCUGGGGAGUACGGUCGCAAGGCUAAAACUCAAAGGAAUUGACGGGGGCUCACACAAGCGGUGGAGCAUGUGGCUCAAUUCGAUUCGACGCGAAGAACCUUAUCCUGGGCUUGACAUGUAUGGAUUAGGUGGUGGAAACAUCACUGAGGCUCUUUGAGUACAACGUACACAGGUGCUGCAUGGCUGUCGUCAGCUCGUGCUGUGAAGUGUCGGGUUAAGUCCCUUAACGAGCGAAACCCCUAUCGUUAGUUGCCAACGGGUCAUGCCGGGAACUCUAACGAGACUGCCGGUGUCAAACCGGAGGAAGGUGGGGAUGACGUCAAGUCCUCAUGGCCUUUAUGCCCAGGGCUGCACACGUGCUACAAUGGCGUGUAACAAAGCGACGCGAGACCGCAAGGUGGAGCAAAUCGCAUAAAACACGCCCCAGUUCAGAUCGAGGUCUGCAACCCGACCUCGUGAAGCCGGAAUCGCUAGUAAUCGGGGAUCAGCUACGCCCCGGUGAAUAUGUUCCUGAGCCUUGUACACACCGCCCGUCAAGUCAUGGGAGCCGGGAAUACCCGAAGUCGCCCCGAUUCAGGGGUGCCUACGGUAGGCUCGGUGACUGGGACUAAGUCGGAACAAGGUA